rnacentral:rRNA from 1 species
AUUGAACGCUGGCGGCAUGCCUUACACAUGCAAGUCGAACGGCAGCACGGGUGCUUGCACCUGGUGGCGAGUGGCGAACGGGUGAGUAAUACAUCGGAACAUGUCCUGUAGUGGGGGAUAGCCCGGCGAAAGCCGGAUUAAUACCGCAUACGAUCUACGGAUGAAAGCGGGGGACCUUCGGGCCUCGCGCUAUAGGGUUGGCCGAUGGCUGAUUAGCUAGUUGGUGGGGUAAAGGCCUACCAAGGCGACGAUCAGUAGCUGGUCUGAGAGGACGACCAGCCACACUGGGACUGAGACACGGCCCAGACUCCUACGGGAGGCAGCAGUGGGGAAUUUUGGACAAUGGGCGAAAGCCUGAUCCAGCAAUGCCGCGUGUGUGAAGAAGGCCUUCGGGUUGUAAAGCACUUUUGUCCGGAAAGAAAUCCUUGGCCCUAAUACGGUCGGGGGAUGACGGUACCGGAAGAAGAAGCACCGGCGAACUACGU